CACUGAUACCAACUGACCAUGAAUAUGGACCCAAUAUUCCUCUCACCAACGGUACACGUGUCAAUCUAUUUGAUGAUCAAGAUUUGAGUGAUCUGGAAUUCGAAGCUGAGGUUGCGGAGCAAGAUAGCCAACAAAGAUAGCCAACAACACCAAUAUCGACCUGAAAUGCAUGAAGACCCUUCAUUUGGAACACCUCAUUAUCGAGAAAAAUCUACUUUUACUUCUCCAAAUACCUCUGGUUUUUCGUCAAUAUUAUCAACCCCUCAUUCUCAUGCCGUGAGUUUUAGGAGUGAUGUUGAAGACAGAGCCCACUCAACACCGAAUUCUUGAUUUGAUCUUCGUUCAAUUCUUCAAGAGCAGCAGUCAAUCCCUCAAAAAAUUCUCAGCAAUCCAGAAACUAUCCAAAAAACACAAAGGAGAGAUUAAAGAAGCUUGAGUCAGUGGGUUCGACACCUGCGUCAAGCAGUGUGAAAAAGAAGCAAGCAGUCACACGUACUUUGUCUUCGAAAGUUCAGAUGGUUCACACUGCAUUGGAGGAGAAGAUUCGACCUGAGAAAAGGUAGUUAAGUGAUUGUUUUAUUUACAGUUCCACGUCUGACCACAACAAGGAGGUGCGGAAGAAGAUUGUAACUGGGUUAUUGAGUCAAAGUGAUUGUAAUUUUUCUGAAAAAGUUAUCAUUGCUGCAGUGGCUAGAUGCUACCAAAAUCUGCGCCGGCAAUGGACACCAACAAAGAAAAUAUCGGUCACGAAGGCAAAGGACAUUUGAGCGAAGGGGCCAUGUAGUCACUGAGAAGGAGCAGAAAAAGUACUGGAGUCACCUAUCUCACUUGUACAUCCUCAGAUGAAAACAAAAUCGUCUUACACAAAUUAUCCUGGAGGUCGGAUGGUUAGUUGCGUUUAUUGUAUGUUGUUUCAGGUCUCAAUAAGUUUUUAAGCACUCUCAAUGACCGAGCCAAGAAAUUGUCACCUGAUACGUUGGCAGCUAAAAAACAAAGAAUUGUUGGAGAGCCAUCUGCAUCCACUGCUCCUCAGGACGGGCUGUAAAAGGCAUUCCCUGUGCAAGUGUGAUCAUGGUGCUUCUUCGUCAAGAACUGAACUGAACUUAUUACGCUCUUUGUGUAGGUGCUUCUUCGUCAAGAACUGAACUGAAUUCUUGAACUGAACUUAUGUCCUUGUUGCUUUUCAAUGUUAUAUAAUUAUUACACAUGAAGAUGAUUGGCAAUUAAUUUA